AAAGACCCUAUGAAGCUUUACUGUAACUUGAAAUUGAAAUUGGACUUUACUCGCGCAGUAUAGGUGGGAGGCGUUGAUUAUAAUCUCGUGGGAUUAUUGGAGCCAUCAGUGAGAUACCACUCUUGUAAUGUUAGAUUUCUAACUUUGAAUCAUUAUCUGGUCAAAGGACAGUUUCAGGCGGGCAGUUUGACUGGGGCGGUCGCCUCCUAAACGGUAACGGAGGCGUACAAAGGUUUCCUCUGAACGGUUAGAAAUCGUAUCUAGAGUGUAAAGGCAUAAGGAAGCUUGACUGUGAGACCUACAAGUCGAGCAGGGACGAAAGUCGGUCUUAGUGAUCUGACGGUACUGAGUGGAAAGGCCGUCACUCAACGGAUAAAAGUUACUCUAGGGAUAACAGGCUGA
rnacentral:rRNA from 1 species